UGACACAGGUGCUGCAUGGCUGUCGUCAGCUCGUGUCGUGAGAUGUUGGGUUAAGUCCGUAACGAGCGCAACCCUGUCCUUAGUUACCAGCACGUUAUGGUGGGCACUCUAAGGAGACUGCCGGUGACAAACCGAGGAAGGUGGGGGAUGACGUCAAGUCAUCAUGGCCCUUACGGCCUGGGCUACACACGUGCUACAAUGGUCGGUACAAAGGGUUGCCAAGCUGCGAGGUGGAGCUAAUCCCAUAAAACCGAUCGUAGUCCGGAUCGCAGUCUGCAACUCGACUGCGUGAAGUCGGAAUCGCUAGUAAUCGUGAAUCAGAAUGUCACGGUGAAUACGUUCCCGGGCCUU
rnacentral:rRNA from 1 species